UAGACCGUUUUGAUGUGUCGCCGAAUUGACUAGUAAAAAUGGUCUUAAAGUUAGCGAACAAAACAGACAUUGAUCUUUAAAAAAAAACUGCGUUACACAGGAUUACAAGCGGCCUAGGAUGCGUGCGUAACAAAAGUGUUAAGAAUCAGUACCAAGACCUGCAUCCUGAGCAUGAGGAGGCCAUUCAUCCAGACUCGGUCAGCAAAAAACCUGGCAACUGGAAACAGUACACUGACCUCACAUACUGCCAUGAUCAGAAAGGAAAACCUAAGAAAACUGAUGUGUUUGAUUCAGAGCAACUUACCAAAUAUCUUGAACAGAUGAACAUUCAGAUUGAAAGCAACGAUGAUAAUGCCUGUAGACAUGCCAGAUCCAUUUCGGAAGCCUUCAAAGACAUGCCUCCUCUGCAAACAUAAUAUCAAACUAGAUUAUAAGGUGUCCUGCCCUUCAUGAACAAGUCUGUGAAAUACUUGGAAGACCUGAUGCUGUUCAAUCCAUUUUCUACUGACGACUUCGACGUGGGCCUCCCUCUUGCGUGACCUGUAGAACAGUCUUUCACAGAGAGACGUGCCUGGUGACGUGUCCAAACCAAGCCAACUUUUGUCGUUUUGCGGACGCCAGUAGGGGGCUCUUGUGGAUCAACAAGAGUUGCUGUCAUGUAACUGAUGUACUCGUAGGUCUUGUGGUCCGUAUAGGAGAUACGGAGCAGUCUUCGGUGACAUUUAUGUUCAAAUGCUUGUAUCCUGCGUUCUGUGUCUGCGUGAAGCGUCCAGGUUUCGCAGCCGUAGAGUAAUAUGGAGACUACGAAGGACUUGAAGAAUCUGUACUUAGUUGGGAAACUGAUAGAACUGCUUGUCCAUUGCCUGCUCAAUCUGGCCAUCGCUCGGUUGCCAUGUCAAUCUUCAUUCGGACCCUUGGUCAUGGUUGCGACCAAGUCAUUGAAGCUGGUCACUUGUAACUUCUUGCCGUUCAUGGUGAUGUCUGUAAUGGUGUUGGUCGUGCUGUUCACCAUGAUCGUCGACUAAUCCGUGCUUACCUCCAUCCCGUAUGCUUUUGUUGUUUCAUAGAGUAUGUUGAUGAGAUCUUGAAGUCCACCCAUGAGGUCAAUGCCAUCAGCGAAUGCCAAGUUGGAGAUGAAUCUUCCAAUUUUCAAGUACAAGUUUGUCCAACUUAUGUACCGCUCCAGGUGAAACAUGUUUCAUAUACAUUUUAUUGACGAUUUUAUUUUAAAAUCAAUCGACGAUUUUAUUUUAAAAUCAAUCAGAUUGAGAGAUGUGAAUAGUGGUCCGCGAAAAUGUUUGUUCAAAUCAUUCCCCUGGGUCGAAAUGAGAACUGCCCAGAGAAUGAAAUGAUGUUAUGCUUGUGACAUCGAUAUAUGUUCUUUCCAAGUUUGCUCUAUUCCGGCAUCUGUGAUAUUUGGCAUUACAACGCCGAGAGGAGUAAUUAUAUUGUGUAUGAUACAAUCGUUACUGGCCAUCUACUGUUUUUCAUAUCAUUCUCCUAGUGAAUUAUUUUGAGCUAAGCCUAGAUUGUCUACUGGUUUAUAAUGACUUUUAUGUUAGUGUCUUCAAAUAUCUACCUUUCUGAAACUAAAAGAUCCAAAGCUAUGGUAUUUGUUGUGUAGUAUUAGGUAGUAUUCCUUUAAAACCUGUGUUAAAAUCAUGAAGUACUGGGGUACAUGAUAAAUAUAAAUAGUCUUUAUCGAUAUACCGACUGCAUUUUUUCUCCGAAUAAAGAUCUUAGCAUUCUCGAUAUUGAUCUCUCUUUACAAAAAUUUGUUGCCUCAUUGUAAAUGUGAUUAAAUCAGUGCAAUUCUUACUUAAUUGGCAUGUUCUUUAACCAUGGAAAUUAGGCUAACAUGCAUAUUUGUUUUGACAUUAAAGUAUUUAAAAAGUUCAAACGUCGAAAUAGGGCGUAUACUGUAAAGUACUCGUACAUUUUGUGUUUAUGAAGAGUUUUUGUGUUAAUAUGGCGAAAUGCUGCGUAUUAUGUAGCUUAGGUAUACUUUUUAUGUGUAUGGCGAGUUUAUGUGUUGAUACGGCGUAACAGUGAGCAUAAUGUGGCGUACUUAUACUUUUUUGAUUGUAUGGCGAGAUUUUGUGUUGAUAUGGCGAAAUAAUGCGUGUUCUGUAGCGUGCGUAUACAUUUUUUGUGCAUGAGGAGUUUUUCUAUUGUUAUGCCAUAAAAGUGUGUAUUCUGUAGCGUACAUUGUUUAAGUUUGACCAGUUUUUGUGUUAAUGUGGCAAAAUAAUAAACCGUCUGUGUAGUACUAGUACAUUUGGUAUGUAUGACGAAUAUUUGUAUUGACAUGGCGAAACAGUGCGUAUUCUGUAACGCAUUCGUUCAUAUGUUUUUUAUGAGGAGAAUAGUGCGCAUUCUAUGGCCUUCAUAUACGUGCAUUGUGUAAUAUAAUGGCUGAACAAGAGCGUAUUUUGAUGCCUUUCCAUAUAUCAAUUGUGAAUCCGCAUGGGUAUUUGUUUAUUCACAUUAUUCACAAUGCUUUGAUGGCAAAACAGUUUUUUCUGGGAUCCUCAUACAUAAUUAUGUACUUGUAAGAAUAUGCACUUAUUACUUAUACAAUGAUAUUGCGGCAAUACUAGAACUCUAUAGACAUGGGCAUAUACCUGACAAAAGAAGAGACCCCACUAUGCUCUGACAUGAAUAACCUUAGUUAUUAAAGUUGAAUAUGGCAUUGUUGUGUUUCUAUUGUUCUAUUAAUUACCGUUAUCUGGCCAAAUAAUCGAAGCAGAUUUCAAAUAUUGAGUUUGUGUUCCAAGUGUUAAUAUAACUUUAGAAAUAGUAUUGUUGGUCUUUGUUUUUAAUUUACUUCAACAGAAUUUAUCAAUGAUAAUUUUUAACAUGUCACUCUAUAUGCCUCGUCGCGCACUGUGCUGUCUGCUUGCCAUAAUAAAGAAUGAAUAUAUUG